AUUUAAAUACAUCUCAUGUUGAGGUUCAAC
rfam:Clostridium autoethanogenum DSM 10061, complete genome.